rnacentral:lncRNA from 7 species
UUUUUUUUUUUUUUCUUUAACUUGACUGUGACCAUCAUCCUUCCUGAGUAAUUUAGAACUGGUUACCCACCAUAGCCUUUCCCUAUGCACUGGUUUUUGUCAUUGUUGGGAAGGGGUGGUUCCUAUCAUAAGGAGGUUACUUGUUGCCUUGAUUGAGGGACAGGUUAAUGCCCUGUUCCUGAAGGCUUCCAAGCAACAAUAAAGCCUGCUUAAAGCGGCCUCUGCUUUAACCACUAGAUCUUCAUCGAGGCAGAGAGGGGCUGACGGUGUUUCAGAAGUGAGAAGCUUUCCAUGCUGGCACUGUGAGCAGCCUUUGACCGAGGGGUGAGAGCCUCACCAUCCUGCACACAGAGUCCUAAGCAGCCUUAGAUUCCCUCCCAGCUGACAUCAAUGGCGGAACUUCUACGGGCUCAGCAAGGACAACUGCAAUUGUAAACAACAAAAACAGAAAUGAGUUUUUUGCUCCGCGGUAUGAAGCCAUUUUUAUAGAUUUCCAGAAUCAGCAGGCAUAAAAAUAGUAGGUAUUUUGCAGGCUGUCUCUCCUUCCCUUGGUAAAAUUGCCUUUGUUUGUGAACUCGCUGGCAGACAAACCCAAGUGUUCUGAGGGAGGUGUGCACGUUGUGGCUUCUCAGAAGGUGUUAUACGAACAAAAUUGUGGUGAGCUAUAAAGAAUGCAUCAUAAAAGCUGUGGAGCUCUAUGGAAGCAGAUCAAACACACCUAUUUUUCCUGUGGCUCUAGAGGAUAUCCUUUGUGACAAAAAAGCCACUGAUUUGAGGGUAGUUAAUUUCUAGGCUGCUUUUGAGCAAGGGAUUUUCAACGUGCUUUGUUGUUCAGUGCUCAGGUCCUUUGUGUUCUUGUGUUUUAAAGCUCUGGGGAACUUGAGGUGCCUGGAAACUGCCUUGAGGCAGAGCUGUGGUAAUUAGGCUUUUGCUUUCAGCUGGGGAGAAGGGGGACAUGAUGUGGCUGAACUGAACCAGGCAGCAUCUUCAGGAUGGAACUUUGUUUCUGAAGUCUCAACUUUCUGUGAAAGAAAAUUUCAUUAGGGAAGAGUCAGUUUUAAUAGUUUCAGGUAUAUCUAAUACUGCUGAAAUCUUUGGAGGUAGAAGUGCUGCUUUUUCAAGUAGCAGAAUGUUAUGUAAGAGAUGCAGCUACCGGCAGACUUAAAGCUGCUUGGUUAUUGAAAUGGAUUAUUCUGAUUGCUGCAUAUCUAAAGUGCUUCCAAAUUUGACACUGUUUCAUUUUGAGAUUUAAAUGGAUUUUGAAAUAUCCAGCUUAUCUGUACGGCAAGCAAGACACUAGAAAUCUUCAUCAACUCCAGACUUACAGCAAUGGUUUGUGACGUUAUCAAGUAACACAGUUGAAGUGAAGAGAAAACGAAUGUUUCUGGAGAGUUCUAUGGCUGAAAGUUUAGGAGGGGGGAAGAAAAAAUCCAAUUAAUGAAGGAUCUUUGAGGCUCUCUUUAUGUGUUUGCUCAGAUUCCUCUUUAUUAGAUGAGAGAGUGAGUUUUUUGGUUUGCUUGUUUUCAAUUUUGAACAUAAUGAAGAUAUUUGCUGCCCUAGAGUCUGGAAAAAGAUGUUAUUGGCAAAAAUGAAAGGGGUACAAAUAUAAGAGCUUCUGAUCACAUAGGAGGUCCCGGUGUAUAUACUCUGGAGCAACCAGUGCUCAAGUGGUCAUGAUGAGCAUCGAGCUGCCUACAUCUGUAUCAUCUAAUUGUGGCAUGACUGGCUGCCUGCUAGGAGCAAACCAAAAUAGAUUCUGACACUAAUAACACGGAAUAAUAUUUUGUCUCUCCCUGUUUUGACAGUCUGUCAGGGAAAAGGGGAUUUGAAACAAUAAUCGGGGAAUUCCAGGUGUAUGUGCCUUGGUAUGGGAUAUCCAACAGCAUAAACAGAACAUAAGGGGAUGAUGAAACCAUUUCUCUUUGGACAAAUCAAUUCAUGAUGGCCCUUUGCAGAGGUGCUGUUCAGAGGUUUUCUUGUCUAUUUUUUUUUAAGCAUUCAAAAUAUUAAUUCAUGCAAAAUUGAAACUAAUUCUCAUGACUCCGUAAAAAAUGCUGAGUGUUGGUUUGAUUUGUUAAUUUCUUCCAGUUGUGCAUAGUUUCAAGAUUUCUUGGCAUAUGCAAACCUGAUCUUUGAAACUGGGAUUCUGAAUUUAGAUUUUACCUGGUAAGGCUGUAAUUACACGUGCAUGUAGUUUAAUGAAGCUGCACUGUUUGUCAGAAUUACAAAAUGCAAUAGCCCACUGCAGCAUCUGUCACCUGCUAAGUUGCUGUUCUUCAUAAUGCUGGACUAAGCAAGUAUUUAUGGGUGUUGUCCCAGGAAUGUGUUUUUUUUUUUUUUUUUUUUAGCUAACAUAUGGUGUAAGUUCACAGAAUGGUUUGUAUCUUGCUUUGAAUCUUUUGGAAGAAAAUCCCAUGUGAAUAGGUCAUUAAAAUUUUUUAUGGCAGGUU